CCUACGGGAGGCAGCAGUAAGGAAUCUUCCACAAUGGGCGAAAGCCUGAUGGAGCAAUGCCUCGUGAGUGAAGAAGGUUUUCGGAUCGUAAAACUCUGUUGUUGAAGAAGGACACUUCUGAGAGUAACUGUUCAUAAAUUGACGGUAUUCAACCAGAAAGCCACGGCUAACUACGUGCCAGCCGCCGCGGUAAU
rnacentral:rRNA from 1 species